UAGACGUUUAGUCUACAAGUUUUGAAAAAGAGACGAAGUUCAAGUUUAAAAAAGAAAAAGGAACGAUCACAUUUUGGGGAAUGUACGUGGUAAAAUAGCCCAGCAAAUAAAAUAACAAAAAUGUGGUCGUGUCAACUCAGGUCGAGUCUCUUAAUGGAACAGCUUGAAACACACUCCAUGCUGUUUAGCAGGAAAACUAAGAAACUAAAAGAAUACCACUAUGAUUAUGGGAGAUUAAAUAGAGUUCAACCUGUUCAAAUUUUGUGAAAUGUGACACAGCAAGAUCAACAGCAUCCCGUUUCAUAGAAACUACCGACGUCGGUCGAGUUCUUCCCUUGAAAUCACCUGUGUCAUCAUUAACACCCAUGUGUGUGGGUGUAUUCACGAAGACGUUCUUUUUCUAUCCCUCCUGGCGUAUUCAACUAUUCUGCGGAUGGAUGAAGCAUUUCUGGAUGGAUGCCUGGCCGUAUUUCCCAGGCUUAAAGGUGACACAACAAAAUGGACCUUGGGUUGACUGCCAUCUAUUGCUGGGAAAUGCAAAUUGGCCGGCAGCGCAGCCCAAUUCAAAAAUCAAAAACACGGAGAAACUCACGACAAGUUGCGAUGUGAGACCAGAGCCAGCCAUCAUAACUUCAAGAUAUGCAAGUUUGGCUUGUGUUGGUGUUGACCUGUCAUCACCAACAAUCUCAGAAUCAUCAAGCUU